GUUUCUGACUAAAUUUCUCUCAGUCUUCGGUCUCUUCCACGCCAUGGCUGCUCAGAUGUAGAAGUAAUUUCAAGCUGGAAGAUAUGUUGAAGUCACUGAAAAUUGUGGAACAAGAACCGACAAGAUGAACAGGGCAGUCGAAUUUUGUAUUACUAAGCUCAUUCCAAUGCAUUUUUGUUGAUGUGGGACAUUUAAACUUAUAACAGCCUUUGAACAUUGUCAAGAUUGGCAAGGUUCUCUUGUUUUGGAUGGAUAGGCCAUUUUGUUAGAAACAUGGAUAUGAAUGUAGUCAUGUUUGUGCUAUAAUCUGACUCAUGAUGCUAGAGGAUAAAAGGCAGGACACCAAGAGGGGACUUUUCUAUUUUUAUCAAAAUGUAACAGAUAUAGCUGAUUGUAGCCCUUAUGAUACAGACUCUGUAUGAUAUGGGCAUCCAGCUAUUGACUGGUCUCUUGUGAUCUUAUUGUAUAUGAAUUUCUAGCUUAUAAAAUAUGCCUUUAUUGUAUUUCUCUUAUCCUGUUGGCAUUAUAACUAAGUUGGGAUUCUUCCAUGCUUCUCAGUUUCAUGUCCUAAGCCUGAAACAACUGCAUAUAUGGAGCUGAGCUUUUUGACCCAAACCUACAUGAAAUGUAGCCAUCGAAAAACAUUAUGUGAACUUUGCAAAUCAGUGCCAUAAUACACACCAGGUUGGAUUUGUGUGAUGACCCACUUGGAUUUGAGUGCUUUCCAUAACGGUCAUGGGUUCACUCUCAUCACCAACCACACCUUACUGAAAUUUAGUUCAUCAUUUACACUUAAAGAGUUGGUUGCUUUUACUCAUGCUGAUCUGCACAACUAGAAGCUACAUAUUCCUUGCACACAUCCCGUAUUAUGGACCAUAUCUAGCAUUGGUACAAAAGUAUCGGGUUUCGUCUCAGAUUCUAGUGAGAUUGUACUGUUAUUUGAGAUAAUAUCUAAUCCUGCUAUUCAACUUCUUUCCUAGAAUUAGUCUCUUGCAUAAAACAAGAGUGAGUUUGUCCGAUUAUUUUUGCAGAGCUGCUGCUGCUGCAUUGUUGUAUUUUAUUUGUUUUCUUUUUUUUCUUUUUGAGAAUAGAAUCUGACUCUUAAUCUUCAAAAAAAAAAAAAAAAGGUGAGGUAUUUGGAUUGCUUCAGAACUGAUGUUUCAAUCAGUAAACACGCCAACUUCCUUAAAUUCCUUGUACCCUUCAGCUUCAUAAUCCAUUCAGUCUACAAACCAAGUCUCUAGUGUGGUGUCGGUUCCUAGUCCAUGUGAUGACCUUCCAUGAUUUUCCAUUCAAUGCCCAAUAGGCACUUUUAAUGCUCUGGUUGAAAUUAACGAAAAUUGCAUUGAGUUCUCAUUGAUAACCAAUAUUGCAUUGAGUUCUCAUUGAUAACCAAUAUACAUCAGUGCUCCUCUCACUAUUCUAUUUUAUAAUGGUUUGAAUACAGAACAAUCCUCAUGCACUAACCUUUUUCCCAGGUCAACGGGAUGGCCAGUGGAUGGCCACUUGGGUUGGAGAACAUGAACAUGAGACUUAGGCUGAUGGAUGCCUCGCAAGCUGCCUCUUUCAAUCCCAACUCCUUCAACAUGCGCUCAAUCAGUUCCUCUUCAUUAUCAUCCUCUGACCUUGACACUGAGUCCACAAAAUCCUUCUUCCAAGAACAUAGCAGUGUGACAUUGGGAAGACUUAUAGGGAUAAAACCAGGGGAUGGGGACUUGUAUUUCACUAGCUCGGGUCACCACGAGGAACAUGGCCGGGUAUCCAUUGUAAGAGUUGCUUCACAUGCUUCAGAGAGGCACAAAACGGAAGUGUGCCAAGGCAUAUGUGUACCUUUGAUACUGAGUAUUCUUGUAAAGAUGACCCGGGCCAGAAACAGUUCAGGACGUUGAAGUAGGCUGCCAAGCUGGUAACAUUGAGAAGUCUCGUCUAUCAUUUGCAUUUGUGCUGAUGAGUGUGAUUUUGAACUGGUCAUUUCAGUUCAGCUUGAAGAGGGUGUUAUAAUUUCCAUGUGGAAGAAAUUUUCGAGUAUUUUCUUGGUUCUUUUUAGGUGAAGAAAGCCAUCUUGGCAUGAAUGAUAAUCGUCUUGGUAUUACUGAAAAAUCUGAUCAAGGAAUCAGUUUAGUCCAUAAUUCUUCUGUAACAUGAUGUUUACAUGUGCAGCAACGAAUCUCAUUCUCAAUACAAUUUUUACUUCU